rnacentral:lncRNA from 1 species
UCCACAAAUUUGCUUUUCUUUUUUAGAAACUUGUCGAUCGAUUUGUGAAUCGUGGGAAUUUCCGAGCCGCUGCUGUAUUUCUAGAAAGAUUCGUUGUGUAAUUGGUUUAGCAUGGGUGGUACGGCCAGAGUGUAUUGGAGUUAAGAGUGAGAGGAUUGCAGGAUUUGUAUACUAGGAAUCUAGGAUUGGUGAGUGAACUGCUGCAUAUUUCUCGUCAAAAUUCUGAUUUUCUCGGUUACUCCUAUUGGCCGAAUCACCUAACUACUCCAACUGCUAGAUCAUACGACUGUAACAGUACAAACUGGAUCCGGUACUCCCUCCGUGUCACGACCUAUUGAGCUGGGUAGCUGGUCGGCGACGAGUUUGAGCUGGGGAACAGGGGAACGAGAUUCAGAGGGUUGGAUUUGAAAUCGGUAGCGUAAGAAGAGAGGAAAGGAGAGCCAGAGCGAGAGGAAGAGGGAGACAGCCAGGAGAUAGGAAUAUUCUGUUUUAAUUCAUCGAUGCCGACCACCACGCGCCUCGGCCGCUUAUAACGGCGUCUCAUGUUUAAUUACAUGGCUCAAAGCCCACACUAGGCUCGACGGCCCAUUUCAGUUCGCGCUAUCCGUUACACCGGCCCAUGACCUUUCCCUCCACUCCUGAGCGUUGAUGUAGGUACCGUAGUACUUACAGUACCCGCCCGUGAAGAACCAGCUUGUCCCCAAGCUGGAGCAUCUGGAAACUUGGCUUUGAUCACCUCAUAGUCCUCCCAGGUUGCGGAUGUAGUUGGAACCCCUGACCAUUUGACCAACACCUGGAGAUAAGGAGCAUUCCCUUUUUUUACCAAGCGACGAUCGAGUACUUCUUCAGGCAACAUCCCGGGCACUGACAUAUCCACUGGUUUGGGUUACACUGUGAACACCGGAGUAUGAUCAGGUACAUGCCCCUUUAGCUGAGACACAUGAAACAGAGGAUGUAGCAUGCUCCCACCUGGUAAUUCUAGUAUGUAAGUAGCUUCCCCAAUUUUGUCCAGGAUUUUGUAGGGUCCGAAAUACUUGAGGGCUAACUUAGGGCAUGGCCUGUUAACUACUGAAGAUUGAGCAUAUGGUUGUAACCUUAGAUACACCAUCUGACCUACUGCAAACACCCUUUCAGACAUUUUCUUGUCAGCAAAAUGUUUAUAUUUGCACUGAGCUUUUGCCAAAUGUUCCUUUAGUGCUGCUGUAUGCUGAGUAUGCUCUCUUAACCAAGUCUGCGCAUCAGUAUUACAAGAACUGCGAUGACCCACUAACUGGCUAACAAUGGGAUCAUGUCCAUAGAGUGCCUUGUAAGGAGUGCAACCCAAAGAAGAAUGAUAUGUUGUGUUAUACCAGAAUUCUGCCUGCGGCAACCACAGUGCCCAUUUGGUUGGAAAAUCAUGCACAACACAUCUCAAGUACAUCUCCAAACAUUGAUUGACCCUCUCAGUUUGUCCAUCUAUUUGUGGAUGAUAAGCUGUGCUCAUGUGCAACUCUGUUCCCCAUACCCUGAACAAUUCUUUCCAGAAAGCACUGGUGAAAAUCUUGUCUCUGUCAGACACAAUAACCAGAGGCAGACCAUGCAACUUGACAAUGUUGUUGAGAAAAGCUUUGGCAACUGAUGCAGCAGUGAAUGGAUGUUUCAAUGGCAAGAAGUGACUUACUUUGGUGAAACGGCCAACCACCACCAAAAUUGUUGAAUAUCCCUCAGACUUAGAUAAUCCCUCAAUGAAAUCCAUACUAAUUUCCUGCCAAGGACCAUCAGGUAUGGGUACAGGUUGUAGCAUACCUGUUCUUUUGCACAAUUCAUGUUUAGCCUGUUGACUGAUGCCACACUAUUUGACAAAGUUUUUCACUGCUGACUUUAAACCCUGCCAGUUGAAUAGUUGUUUAACAUUGUGAUAAGUGGAUAACAUGCCUGAAUGCCCUCCAAUGGGACUGGUAUGAAAAGCUUGAAUGAGUUUGGUCUGAAGUCCAAUAUUUGCUCCUACCCAAAUCUUGUCCUCAUGUUUGAUGAGCCCUUCCUGGAGCUGGAACCCAGGGCAAGCAUUUGCAUCCAAAGCCAGUUUCUGUAACAUAUUCUGAGCCAAAGAAUCCAUUGUAUAUGAGUUUAAAAUUUCUUGCAGCCAAAGUGGUCUACUAAUAGAUAUGGACUGAGCUACAAACAGAUGGGCCACUCUAGACAGAGCAUCUGCUACUGUGUUUUCCACUCCUUUCUUAUAUUGAAUGGUAAACUGCAGUCCCACCAGUUUUGUCAUUGUUUUUCUCUGAAGAUCUGAAGUUAAAUGCUGAUCUCCAAGAUGGCACAAGCUCUGAUGAUCUGUUUUGAUGACAAAAGGUGCCCUAGACAAAUAAAAUCUCCAUCUAUCAACUGCCAUCAUAAUAGCUAAGAAUUCCUUCUCAUAUAUGGAAGUUUUUUGGCUAGCCACUCCCAAAGCUUUGCUAUAGUAAGCAACAGGGUGUCCUUCCUGAGACAACACAGCUCCUACUCCAGUGUUGCAUGCAUCAGUUUCAACCACAAAGGUUUUUUCAAAGUUUGGUAGAGCUAGCACAGGAGUGUUUGUCAUAGCUUGUUUGAGACUUUGGAAAGCCUGUUGUGCAGGUUCAGACCAUAGAAAAGCUUGUUUCUUGAGUAAAGCAGUUAGAGGUUUUGCUAACAGCCCAUAGUUCUGGACAAACUUCCUAUAAUAUCCAGCAAGUCCCAGAAAACCCCUCAGUUCAGUGACUGUUGUUGGAACAGGCCAUUUAAGCAUAGCUUCAGUCUUAGCAGGAUCAGUUGCCACAACUUUAUCAGAUAUAGUGUGACCCUUUCCUUCACAUAUAACUAUUGUUCCUUAAGAAUAUCAAACACAGACUGUAGAUGGUCCAAGUGUUCGUCAAAAGUUUCACUGAAAAUCAAGAUGUCAUCCAUGAAGACUAACACAUACUUUCUGUUGGGAUCAGCAAAUACACUGAAAUGUCCCUGGGGCUGUGGCCAAACCAAAAGGAACUACUCUGAACUGAAAUUGCCCAUGAUGUGUUUUAAAAGCAGUCUUAAACUCAUCUUCUUCCUUCAUCCUGAUUUGAUGGUAUUCAACUCUAAGGCCCCCCCCCAAGCUCAUCCAAUGAUUUCAUCAAUCACAGGUAGAGGAAAUUUAUUUUUAAUAGUGAGGGCAUUUAAUCUUCUGUAGUCCACACAGAACCUCCAUGUACCAUCCUUUUUCUUAACCAACAGGACAGGAGAAGCAAAAGGACUGAUGCUAGGUGUGAUCAAACCAACUUUCAACAUCUCUUGCACUUGUCUCUCAAUCUCAUCUUUUUGCAGUGGAGGGUAUCUGUAGGGCCUGCAGUUCACUGGUACAACAUCAGGUACCAGAUGAAUAGUGAUCCAGGGCUCUAUGAGGAGGCAGUGUUUUAGGCUCUUGAAACACUGUUUGAUUCUUUGUCAACAACUCUUGCACUGCAGGAGGUACUUCCAUAGAUGGUGCCAUCAUAAUGUGAUUCAAGAUAGCUGUAGCCCAUACCUCAUUGCCUUUUUCCCAUUUGAAGGUUGUUCAGCAGAUAUCUCCUUAAGCUGGUCCUGUUUUACCGGCAUGACUCCUUGCAGUCUGAUUUCUUGACCUUCAUGCUGAAAUUGUAUCCAUCUUUCAGCCCAAUGACAUUUCAUUAUGCCCCACUGCUCCAACCAGUCCAUACCCAGUAUAAUGUCAUGCCAACCCAAAGGAAGGACUUGCAUGGCAUUGUUGAAAUUGUGCCCCUGAAUCCACCAAGUCAACUGAGGUACCAUGUGAGUGCAAGACACCAGAUCUCCAUUAGCCACCCUAACUUGCAAAGGCAUUGGCAGCUUCUCAGUUUUUACUGUUAUCCUGUUCAGUAAGGCUUGAUCCACAAAUGUGUGAGUACUGCCAGAGUCAAUAAGUAUGAGUACUACUUCAUUUCCCACUAAUGCUCUCAACUGAAUUGUUUUAGGAUGAACAAUACCUGACAAAGCAGUAAUGGAUAUGGUGGCACAUUCUCCAGAAUUAUCAGUGACCAAAGCAUCCAGUAUUGCAUCAGAAAUUAUCUCAUGAGGAUCCACCAGAUCUGUAGCCUUUAAAUGUCCCCAGGCACAGUCUGCUGAAUACAUAUGUAUGGCCUGGUAUGAACUUCUCCCCACAUUUGUAACACAAGCCAUUUGCACGUCUGUAUUCAUUCAGCUGCUUAGCCUUCCAGAGCUCUCCUGUAGAAAGUUGUCCCUUACUUUCAAACUUUCCCAUGGCAGGUUUCCCAUAGUAAGCUCUGGAUUGUUUCUGUGUUGACAGUAGCCCUUCCUGAACAGAGGCAUACAUUGCUGCCAACUGUAUGGUAGUGGGCAUUUGCAGCUCCACUACACUUCUCAGCUCCUCCUUUAACCCCAUGGUAAACCUUGUGAAUAGAAAGGUGUCACUCAGGGCUGGCUCAUACAACUUCACAUGAUACACCAAUUGCAGGAACUGUUGCUUGUACACUUCCACAUUGUCCACCUGUUUCAGAGAUAGUAGUUCCUUCAUCUUCUGCCUAUACACAUUCACAUCCAAUUCCAGGAUAGCCGCUGCACAAAACCUUUCCCAUGAGUGAACAUCAGCCAACUGCUUAACUGACUGGUACCAGUGUGCAGCAUUAUCCGUCAGGUACAGAGAAGCAGAAGUAACCUUAAAGUUCUUAGGAAUAUUGUAAAGUUGAAAGAAGGAUUUACAUCUAUCUAUCCAAAUCCGGACCUCGGUACCAUCAAAUCUAGGGAAAUCCAUCUUAGGCAUCCAUCCACGUUUGCUACCUGUGUCCUCCACUGGUAACUGUAUCUGCUGGUCAGAAUUCUGCUCACGUACCUGAAUCGGGGAUACCGAAUCGGAGGUGGUCGCUGUGUGAUCAACACAGGAGGAGCGCCAAGUAUGCCGUCUGACACCUCUGAAGCUGUUGGUGAUGAACUUCCUCCACUGCCUGACCCAUGUGUUCGCUUCCCACCUUGUGCAGUACAUGGUGGCCCUUGCUGAGCCCGACCAAUAGCAUCACAUGAGACCUGAUCCAGGCGAGCGGCUUGCUCAUUUAGCUUGACGUCGAGUGCUUCCAGCUGAGCACAGAUGCCAUCCACCACAUCCUGCUUGCACUGCGUCGCGCGGAUGUCGGCGAACUCCUGCAGCAUCCGCUCCUGGAAUGCCUUCAUCUGCUUGACCAAGCAGCGUGUCUGCGGAUUCGGUUUGGACGCCGCCGUGGUUAUCCCCCCAAAUCAUCCCACCUCAGGUCCGGAUUUACGCAGAAUGAACCCUCAGGUGAUCUGCUACCUUCGCGUCGGAUUUGCUGGGCGACUCAGGGAAUUUUUUUUUUGUGGACGCCGAGAAUCGACGGCUCUGAUACCAGAUUGUCAUGACCUAUUGAACUGGGUAGCUGGUCGGCGACGAGCUUGAGCUGGGGAACGAGAUUCAGAGGGUUCAAUUUGAAAUCGGUAGCGUAAGAAGAGAGGAAAGGAGAGCCAGAGCGAGAGGAAGAGGGAGACAACCAGGAGAUAGGAAUAUUCUGUUUUAAUUCAUCUAUGCCGACCAUCGCGCGCCUCGGCCGCUUAUAACGGCGUCUCAUGUUUAAUUACAUGGCUCAAGGCCCACACUAGGCUCGACGGCCCAUUUCAGUUCGCGCUAUCUGUUACACCGGCCCAUUGACUUUCCCUCCACUCCUGAGCGUCGAUGUAGGUACCGUAGUACUUACACCCCGUUCCUAAAGCUAUCAUUUUUAGAGAUUCUACUAGAGACUACAUACGGAGCAAGUUAAAUGAAUAUACACUCGAAAGUAUGUCUACAUACUUCCGUAUGUAGUCCGUACUGGAAUCUCUAAAAAGAAUUAUAUUUAGGAACAAAGGGAGUAGUUUAUUUGCAUUGUUGUGUAGCAUUUUUUUAAAGGAUGAAAGACACCUGACCUCAUCAUCAGCAUGAUGCAUGUG